rnacentral:rRNA from 1 species
AACCCCUGUGACAUACCACUUGUUGCCUCGGCGGAUCAGCCCGCUCCCGGUAAAACGGGACGGCCCGCCAGAGGACCCCUAAACUCUGUUUCUAUAUGUAACUUCUGAGUAAAACCAUAAAUAAAUCAAAACUUUCAACAACGGAUCUCUUGGUUCUGGCAUCGAUGAAGAACGCAGCAAAAUGCGAUAAGUAAUGUGAAUUGCAGAAUUCAGUGAAUCAUCGAAUCUUUGAACGCACAUUGCGCCCGCCAGUAUUCUGGCGGGCAUGCCUGUUCGAGCGUCAUUUCAACCCUCAAGCACAGCUUGGUGUUGGGACUCGCGUUAAUUCGCGUUCCCCAAAUUGAUUGGCGGUCACGUCGAGCUUCCAUAGCGUAGUAGUAAAACCCUCGUUACUGGUAAUCGUCGCGGCCACGCCGUUAAACCCCAACUUCUGAAUGUUGACCUCGGAUCAGGUAGGAAUACCCGC